CCUACGGGAGGCAGCAGUAGGGAAUCUUCCACAAUGGGCGCAAGCCUGAUGGAGCAACACCGCGUGAGUGAAGAAGGGUUUCGGCUCGUAAAACUCUGUUGUUGAAGAAGAACGUGCGUGAGAGUAACUGUUCAUGCAGUGACGGUAUUCAACCAGAAAGUCACGGCUAACUACGUGCCAGCAGCCGCGGUAAU
rnacentral:rRNA from 1 species